GAUGAAGAACGUAGUGAAAUGCGAUAAUUAAUGUGAAUUGCAGAAUUCAGUGAAUCAUCGAGUCUUUGAACGCACAUUGCGCCCCCUGGUAUUCCGGGGGGCAUGCCUGUCCGAGCGUCAUUGCUGCCCUCAAGCACGGCUUGUGUGUUGGGCUUCCGUCCCUGGCAACGGGGACGGGCCCAAAAGGCAGUGGCGGCACCAUGUCUGGUCCUCGAGCGUAUGGGGCUUUGUCACCCGCUCCCGUAGGUCCAGCUGGCAGCUAGCCUCGCAACCAAUCUUUUUAACCAGGUUGACCUCGGACCAGGUAGGGAUACCCGCUGAACUUAAGCAUAUCAAUAAGCGGAGGA
rnacentral:misc_RNA from 1 species